rnacentral:rRNA from 1 species
UGAGGAAUAUUGCACAAUGGGCGGAAGCCUGAUGCAGCAACGCCGCGUGCGGGAUGACGGCCUUCGGGUUGUAAACCGCUUUCAGCAGGGACGAAGCGUGAGUGACGGUACCUGCAGAAGAAGCACCGGCUAACUACGUGCCAGCAGCCGCGGUGAUACGUAGGGUGCGAGCGUUGUCCGGAUUUAUUGGGCGUAAAGAGCUUGUAGGCGGUUGGUUGCGUCGAAAGUGCAAACUCAGGGCUUAACUCUGAGCCUGCUUUCGAUACGGGCUGACUGGAGGAAGGUAGGGGAGAAUGGAAUUCCCGGUGGAGCGGUGGAAUGCGCAGAUAUCGGGAGGAACACCAGUGGCGAAGGCGGUUCUCUGGACCUUUCCUGACGCUGAGAAGCGAAAGCGUGGGGAGCAAACA